CGCGUGCUUCGAAUCAACCCUCAUUUAAUUUCCUCAUUGCUGCUGCAACUUUUCCCGUGUGCGAGUUCACUUUAAUCUCAUUGAAGAACACACCCCGACUACAUGACGUGAAGUCUUCAGGGUGUGGAGCUCCGCCUGGGCGUUCACCAGCUCUGCCUUCACCCCCCUCAGCUGCUCAUGGAGACCUGGCAAGCAGUCUCAGCCUCCUGGAGCUCUGUCUUGGCCUGCUCCAUCUGACUGUGGCUCCAGCUGUUGAAUGCAGCUAUAGAACUCUUACAGAGAAACAGGGUUUUCCUACGUCCUGGAGUGGCCUAGCCAGUCUCCAGACCUGAACCCAAUA